CCUACGGGGGGCAGCAGUGGGGAAUAUUGCACAAUGGGCGAAACCCUGAUGCAGCAACGCCGCGUGAGUGAAGAAGUACUUCGGUAUGUAAAGCUCUAUCAGCAGGGAAGAAGAAAGACGGUACUUGUCUAAGAAGCACUGGCUAACUAUGUGCCAGCAGCAGCGGUAAUACGUAGGGGGCCAGCGUUAUCCGGAUUUACUGGGUGUAAAGGGAGCGUAGACGGUUGUGCAAGUCUGCAGUGAAAGGCCGUGGCUCAACGGCGGAACUGCUGUGGAAACUGUAUAGCUGGAGUGCUGGAGAGGCAGGCGGAAUUCCUGGUGUAGCGGUGAAAUGCGUAGAUAUUAGGAGGAACACCAGUGGCGAGGGCGGCCUGCUGGACAGAAACUGACGUUGAGGAUCGAAAGCGUGGGGAGCAAACAGGAUUAGAUACCCCAGUAGUC
rnacentral:rRNA from 1 species